rnacentral:rRNA from 1 species
GAUGAACGCUGGCGGCGUGCCUAAUACAUGCAAGUCGAGCGAACAGAUGAGGAGCUUGCUCCUCUGACGUUAGCGGCGGACGGGUGAGUAACACGUGGAUAACCUACCUAUAAGACUGAGAUAACUUCGGGAAACCGGAGCUAAUACCGGAUAAUAUAUUGAACCGCAUGGUUCAAUAGUGAAAGACGGUUUUGCUGUCACUUAUAGAUGGAUCCGCGCCGCAUUAGCUAGUUGGUAAGGUAACGGCUUACCAAGGCAACGAUGCGUAGCCGACCUGAGAGGGUGAUCGGCCACACUGGAACUGAGACACGGUCCAGACUCCUACGGGAGGCAGCAGUAGGGAAUCUUCCGCAAUGGGCGAAAGCCUGACGGAGCAACGCCGCGUGAGUGAUGAAGGUCUUCGGAUCGUAAAACUCUGUUAUUAGGGAAGAACAAAUGUGUAAGUAACUAUGCACGUCUUGACGGUACCUAAUCAGAAAGCCACGGCUAACUACGUG